rnacentral:rRNA from 1 species
UACGGGAGGCAGCAGUGGGGAAUAUUGCACAAUGGGCGCAAGCCUGAUGCAGCCAUGCCGCGUGUAUGAAGAAGGCCUUCGGGUUGUAAAGUACUUUCAGUCGUGAGGAAGGUGUUAAGGUUAAUAACCUUAGCAAUUGACGUUAGCGACAGAAGAAGCACCGGCUAACUCCGUGCCAGCAGCCGCGGUAAUACGGAGGGUGCGAGCGUUAAUCGGAAUUACUGGGCGUAAAGGGCACGCAGGCGGUUAAUUAAGUUGGAUGUGAAAUCCCCGGGCUUAACCUGGGAAUGGCAUUCAAGACUGGUUAGCUAGAGUCUUGUAGAGGGGGUAGAAUUCCAUGUGUAGCGGUGAAAUGCGUAGAGAUGUGGAGGAAUACCGGUGGCGAAGGCGGCCCCUGGACAAAAGGACUGACGCUCAUGUGCGAAAGCGUGGGGAGCAAACAGGGAUUAGAUACC